GCAGCAGCCGCGGGAAUACGGAGGAUCCAAGCGUUAUCCGGAAUCAUUGGGUUUAAAGGGUCCGUAGGCGGUCUUGUAAGUCAGUGGUGAAAGCCCAUCGCUCAACGGUGGAACGGCCAUUGAUACUGCAGGACUUGAAUUAUUGGGAAGUAACUAGAAUAUGUAGUGUAGCGGUGAAAUGCUUAGAGAUUACAUGGAAUACCAAUUGCGAAGGCAGGUUACUACCAAUUGAUUGACGCUGAUGGACGAAAGCGUGGGUAGCGAACAGGAUUAGAUACCCGCGUAGUCCCUGUCUCUUAUAC
rnacentral:rRNA from 1 species